UUUGGAUAGUUUUGGCGAGUUUGACAAGUUUAACGUAAGGUUCGGAAGACGACGAGACGAGCAGGAUAAAGGGUAACUCCCAAAAGGUACGGGUACAGAUUUUGGGAGUCCGUCAGCUUAGGAUUCCAUGCAGCUCAGCUGGAAGAGGCUUCAUUGUAUCGGAGC